CAAGCCUGAACGAGCGAUGCCGCGUGAGUGAAGAAGGCCUCGGGUCGUAAAGCUCUGUUGCGGGGGAAAAAAGGCAGCAUCAGGAAAUGGGUGCUGACUGAUGGUGCCCCGCCAGAAAGUCACGGCUAACUACGUGCC
rnacentral:rRNA from 1 species